rnacentral:rRNA from 1 species
GACGAACGCUGGCGGCGUGCUUAACACAUGCAAGUCGAACGGAAAGGCCCUGCUUUUGUGGGGUGCUCGAGUGGCGAACGGGUGAGUAACACGUGAGUAACCUGCCCUUGACUUUGGGAUAACUUCAGGAAACUGGGGCUAAUACCGGAUAGGAGCUCCUGCUGCAUGGUGGGGGUUGGAAAGUUUCGGCGGUUGGGGAUGGACUCGCGGCUUAUCAGCUUGUUGGUGGGGUAGUGGCGUACCAAGGCUUUGACGGGUAGCCGGCCUGAGAGGGUGACCGGCCACAUUGGGACUGAGAUACGGACCAGACUCCUACGGGAGGCAGCAGUGGGGAAUCUUGCACAAUGGGCGGAAGCCUGAUGCAGCAACCCCGCGUGCGGGAUGACGGCCUUCGGGUUGUAAACCGCUUUCGCCUGUGACGAAGCGUGAGUGACGGUAAUGGGUAAAGAAGCACCGGCUAACUACGUG